GUAGUACUCCCUCCGUCCGGAAAUACUUGUCGCAGAAAUGGAUGAAAAUGAAUGCAUUUAGAACAAAAAUACGUCUAGAUACAUCCAUCUCUCCGACGAGUAUUUCCGAACGGAGGGAGUACUAC
rfam:Triticum aestivum genome assembly, contig: Triticum_aestivum_CS42_TGACv1_scaffold_500643_6BL